rnacentral:rRNA from 1 species
GCAUGCCUUACACAUGCAAGUCGAACGGUAACAGGUCUUCGGAUGCUGACGAGUGGCGAACGGGUGAGUAAUACAUCGGAACGUGCCCGAGAGUGGGGGAUAACGAAGCGAAAGCUUUGCUAAUACCGCAUACGAUCUCAGGAUGAAAGCAGGGGACCGCAAGGCCUUGCGCUCACGGAGCGGCCGAUGGCAGAUUAGGUAGUUGGUGGGAUAAAAGCUUACCAAGCCGACGAUCUGUAGCUGGUCUGAGAGGACGACCAGCCACACUGGGACUGAGACACGGCCCAGACUCCUACGGGAGGCAGCAGUGGGGAAUUUUGGACAAUGGGCGCAAGCCUGAUCCAGCCAUGCCGCGUGCAGGAUGAAGGCCUUCGGGUUGUAAACUGCUUUUGUACGGAACGAAAAGACCCUGGUUAAUACCUGGGGUCCAUGACGGUACCGUAAGAAUAAGCACCGGCUAACUACGUGCCAGCAGCCGCGGUAAUACGUAGGGUGCGAGCGUUAAUCGGAAUUACUGGGCGUAAAGCGUGCGCAGGCGGUUAUGUAAGACAGAUGUGAAAUCCCCGGGCUCAACCUGGGAACUGCAUUUGUGACUGCAUAGCUAGAGUACGGCAGAGGGGGAUGGAAUUCCGCGUGUAGCAGUGAAAUGCGUAGAUAUGCGGAGGAACACCGAUGGCGAAGG